GAUGAAGAACGCAGCGAAAUGCGAAAAGUAAUGUGAAUUGCAGAAUUCAGUGAAUCAUCGAGUCUUUGAACGCACAUUGCGCCCCCUGGUAUUCCGGGGGGCAUGCCUGUCCGAGCGUCAUUGCUGCCCUCAAGCACGGCUUGUGUGUUGGGCCCCGCCCCCCGGCUCCCGGGGGGCGGGCCCGAAAGGCAGCGGCGGCACCGCGUCCGGUCCUCGAGCGUAUGGGGCUUCGUCACCCGCUCCGUAGGCCCGGCCGGCGCCCGCCGGCGACCCCCCUCAAUCUUUUCAGGUUGACCUCGGAUCAGGUAGGGAUACCCGCUGAACUUAAGCAUAUCAAUAAGCGGAGGA
rnacentral:misc_RNA from 1 species